rnacentral:rRNA from 1 species
CCCUUAGAUGUUCUGGGCCGCACGCGCGCUACACUGAUGCAUUCAACGAGCACCCGCUGGGCCGAGAGGUCCGGCUAAUCUUUGAACGUGCAUCGUGCUGGGGAUAGAUGAUUGCAAUUAUUAAUCUUCAACGAGGAAUGCCUAGUAAGCGCAAGUCAUCAGCUUGCGUUGAUUACGUCCCUGCCCUUUGUACACACCGCCCGUCGCUCCUACCGAUUGAAUGGUCCGGUGAAGCGUUCGGACCGUGGCCUUUGGACGGUUCGCCGUCUGUUGGCUGCGGGAAGUUCGUUAAACCUUAUCAUUUAGAGGAAGGAGAAGUCGUAACA